rnacentral:tmRNA from 1 species
UCUCUUCACGCGCGCGCUCCGAUCACCUAUAUCCAACUCUGUCAGCUCGUCUGACUAUGGCGAUAAACGGCCGAUGAAAUAAGCCAUUCGGACCCGGGGGCGGUACCCGGCGCCUCCACCAUGAACCGCUCUUCACGGGCGGCUCCUGAUGGGGGCGAAAUAGGAUCGACGAGGGUGUAAAGAUCGCGCUUUUGCCCGGCAUUGUACCACCGUUAUCGGGCUAAAUCUGUAGUUGCCAACGACAACUAUGCGGAAGCACGUCUCGCCGCUUAAUGCGGUGCGAUAGCUUCAAAUCAAGCCCUAGGGGUUCGCACUUCUAGGCGGGGUUCGGAGGUACCUGGCAACAGAAACCUCCACU